rnacentral:rRNA from 1 species
UCCGAAGGGUGCAAGCGUUACUCGGAAUUACUGGGCGUAAAGCGUGCGUAGGCGGUUGUUUAAGUCUGCUGUGAAAGCCCUGGGCUCAACCUGGGAAUUGCAGUGGAUACUGGGCGACUAGAGUGUGGUAGAGGAUAGUGGAAUUUCCGGUGUAGCAGUGAAAUGCGUAGAGAUCGGAAGGAACAUCAGUUGCGAAGGCGGCUCUCUGGACCAGCACUGACACUGAGGCACGAAAGCGUGGGGAGCAAACAGG